CGAGUUACUGCUGAGUAGCCCAGAAAUCCUGAGUUCUUGCUGUUUUUUGCUAUCUUACACAGCAAAUGAGAGCCUGAUGCAGCUGCUUUCACUGUGCUACCUGGCACACUCUUAUGCCAAGAGGAGAAGGGAGCAAUUUCUGGCGGAGAUGCCUGAUACUCAAUGCUGGUAUUUGCACAGGAGGAUAGCCCUGGUUUUGGGCAGCAUUACGUCCAUACUAAGAUUUACCAGCACAACAAAUCGAUCGUUGUGGACCAGAGACCGCAGGAAUGGACAAGCUUUCUGGGCAACCGUGCAAGCUUAUCAGCCAAAGCAGUGGAUGGCAUACUUUCGGAUGUCAUGUGCUACAUUUAACUACCUGCUUGAACUUCUCACCCCCGCACUCACUAGGGGAAACUCCUACUACCAAAAGACCAUCGAGCUCCUGCUUGUUUGGCGUAGGCAUGGUCGACGGUGUGUGUGCUAGUGCGGGAAGUGACCGAGGCAUUGCUGGAAACCGUUUACCACCGCUUCAUCUCCUUACUACAAGGUGACUGGCUGGAUGACACCAUAAAAGAUUUCCUAUGUGUAUGUAUGUGGAUAUCCCCAAUGCAGUAGAGCCAUAGAUGGACCCACAUACCCAUUAUUGCCCCCAGAGACAACCCAGCAGAUUACCACAAAAGAAAAGGCUGGCACUCCAUCAUCCUGCAGGCUGUAGUGGACCAUAAGUUUUGUUUCACAGAUGACUUUAUCGGCUGGCCGGGUCGUGCUCACGACUCCUGGGUAUUUGCCAACUCAGACUUGUUCCAGAUUGCGGAGGAGAAGCAACAUGACUGGUUGUUACCAAGAGAGAAAUCGACAUUUGUUGCUGGGGUGGAGAUCCCGGUACACCUUAUUGGAGAUGCGGUGUACCCUUUGAGGUGAUGGCUCAUCAAGGGCUUCACACAACAUCUUCCACUCUCUCUGGACAAAGUUCAGUUCACCCACAAUCUCAGCUCGGCCAGGAUGGUGGUGGAAAACGCCUUUGGUAGACUGAAGGGCGUUGACAGUAGCUACUAAAGUGUAAUGAUGUUGCAGAGCAGAAAGAAGCCCCUUGUGGGCUCGCUGCGCUCUCCAUGCAGCAGGCUUGGUUGCUCGCUGCGCUCACCACAGGUUCUAUUCCCAUCCUACCAAUAGUGGGAAUAGUCCCUAUUGAUCAGCAUGCCAUCCGUCAGGUUAUUCACCCUUUGGGAUCCUUGGGUCGGUAUAGCGAUCUCCCAACCUCCGGUCACCUAACCGCAUCCCGUUAGUACAGGAUACAUAUGAA